GAGAAGGGCGUUUGGUGGAUGCCUUGGCAGCAAGAGGCGAUGAAGGACGUGAUACUCUGCGAUAAGUCAUGGGGAGCUGAGAAUAAGCUUUGAUCCAUGAAUUUCCGAAUGGGGCAACCCACCUGACAGUUCGUUAUAAUUACCUUGGUAAUUUAUAAUGGG
rnacentral:rRNA from 1 species